UACGGGGGGAGCAAGCGUUGUCCGGAUUUACUGGGCGUAAAGGGCGCGUAGGCGGCGCAACAAGUCACUUGUGAAAUCUCCGGGCUUAACCCGGAGCGGCCAAGUGAUACUGUCGUGCUAGAGUGCGGAAGGGGCUACUGGAAUUCUCGGUGUAGCGGUGAAAUGCGUAGAUAUCGAGAGGAACACCUGCGGCGAAGGCGGGUUGCUGGGCUGAUACUGACGCUGAGGCGCGAAAGCCAGGGGAGCGAACGGG
rnacentral:rRNA from 1 species